CCCCAGACUCCUACGGGAGGCAGCAGUGGGGGAUAUUGCACAAUGGGGGGAACCCUGAUGCAGCGACGCCGCGUGGGUGAAGGAGCGUUUCGGCGCGUAAAGCCCUAUCGGCAGGGAAGAAGGAGGACGGUACCUGACUAAGAAGCCCCGGCUAACUACGUGCCAGCAGCCGCGGUAAUACGUAGGGGGCAAGCGUUAUCCGGAUUUACUGGGUGUAAAGGGGGCGCAGACGGCAGCGCAAGCCAGGAGUGAAAGCCCGGGGCCCAACCCCGGGACUGCUCUUGGAACUGCGCGGCUGGAGUGCAGGAGGGGCAGGCGGAAUUCCUGGUGUAGCGGUGAAAUGCAUAGAUAUCACGCAGAACCCCGAUUGCGAAGGCAGCCUUCCGGCGCCCUACUGACGCUGAGGCACGAAAGUGCGGGGAUCGAACAGGAUUAGAUACCCGCGUAAU
rnacentral:rRNA from 1 species